AGGGCACCACCAGGAGUGGAGCCUGCGGCUUAAUUUGACUCAACACGGGAAAACUCAUCCGGCCCGGACACCGUAAGGAUUGACGGAUUGAGAGCUCUUUCUUGAUUCGGUGGUUGGUGGUGGGUGGGCGGUGCAUGGCCGUGGAUCGAUUGUGGAGCUUUUGCCUGGUUAAUUCCGAUAACAAACGAUACUCUAGCCUACUAAAUAGACUGCCGGCUCAUAUCCGCCGGCAGGACUUCUUACAGGGACAGGCGGCGACUCACCCGCACGAAACAGAGCAAUAACAGGUCUGUGAUGCCCUUAGAUGUCCGGGGCCGCACGCGCGCUACACUGAAGUGAUCAGCGUGCAUCAGUAACCCUCUCUGUCAAGAGUGGGUAACCCAAUGAACCUUCUUCGUGAUUGGGAUAGGGCAUUGUAAUUAUUGCCCUUGAACGAGGAAUUCCCAGUAAGCGCGAGUCAUAAGCUUGCGUUGAUUACGUCCCUGCCCUUUGUACACACCGCCCGUCGCUACUACCGAU
rnacentral:rRNA from 1 species